AUGGAGAAGGAAAGCUUGGCUCCAAGUUUGUAUACAGGCCAAACAUUCAUGGAUGGUUUUGCUGAGAUCCGGGAUAUCCCCUCAGAAUAUCGUUGGAAAGAAAACAAGAAGGAGAUGAAGGCGGAUGAAUACCAUGGAUUAAGUUACCAUGAAGUGUUGGGCAAAUUCUUGUCAGCCAAGGAACAAAAUUACAUGGCAUCUACUUCGGCUACGAUUCUUGGGGAGACAAUGGAUUUGGUGAAGCCACUGUGCACCAAGGAUGACGUUUUUCGCGUUCGUGUGGAGAUGCACCGUGCAAAGGAGAUUUACACUAAAGAAGAGACCCUCUUCAAGAGUGAGGCCGUACAGGACGAGCUUCUUGUUGACCCCAGUGAUACCAAACCAUACUGCUACGUGAACGAUGGUCUCUCUGCGACUUCCUAUGCGCACUUCUUCCACAAGGAUCCCUCUCCACGCUGCGACUACUAUAAACCUACCACCUUAGAAGGUGAUAUUCAGUACAUAUUUUUUUUUGACAAACUGGUGGAGUUAACAAGAUAUAGAGAAACCAGAGAUAUGGUGUUUGCUAGGGCUAUCGCCAUUGCAAGGAGUGGUUUCAGAAAAAUGCUCUUUUUCCAAAUUAAGAUUGGCGUCGAUCAGUGUUUAGAACUGAUGCUCCGGGGAGAGAAGAUGUGGCAGAGAAAAGAGCUGUAUUAUCACAUAGUGUAUGAAACUGUUUUCGGAAACAAUAAGCGUGAAGAUGUUAUCAAGCAUAUCCAGGAGGGACAAGUUCAGCUUUUCUACGAUCUUAUUGAGUUCGCCCGCCUAGAUGUGGAUGACUAUAAAGUUAUUGUAGAAGAGACGCUUGAUCAUCUCGUUGAGCUAUCUCGUGCCAAGUUGCCCUCGAAGGAAAGCAUUAAGAAUGGUGCUUACAAAAAGAUGAUUUCUGAGGAGCUCAAUAAGCUGUUCCCAAGACGUACUCGGCUUUAUACGCAUUUUCUCAAGAAGAAGAUAGAGACCGCCGAAAAAUAUGGCCUGAUAAGCGAGGGAGCUUCUAAAGAUCUUGAUAAAAGGAGAUUCUGUAUUACACCAUAA
rnacentral:rRNA from 1 species